CCGUCAGUGGAGGACCUCUUUCUGAGAAAGGACGACAUCCCCUUGGAAAGGGGAAGGAGGAAGAGGAGAGAGGAGGAAGGGCAGAGGUGGGAGGAGGCUUCAAGAGAACUGGGAGAAUUGUGUGGAGCUGAAUCUGUCCUAUCAGGACUUGGGAGAUCUGUUUCAGCAGGAAAACUUCCGUCGGAUCCUGAGGAGGCUGAUCCGAGUGGAGAGACUCCAGCUGAUCAAUAACUCCCUCACAGACCUGAGUUCUAUAUGCCUGCCAAGGUGCCGAAGCCUGAAUCUGCAUCGUAACCACCUGACAUGUAUACGUCAGCUGCCAAAGCUCCCGGCCGUGGAGCACCUGUGUCUCUCUGAGAACGGCAUCUCCACACUGAGGGGACUGGGGGCUCUGGGAACCAGCACACUCCACUCCCUCACACUCAGAUCUAACCCUGUCAACUACAUACAGG